GCGCCUAUAGCUCAGGGGGAUAGAGCGCCGGUCUCCGGAACCGGGUGCGCAGGUUCGAUUCCUGCUAGGCGCACCA
rnacentral:tRNA from 1 species